GGAGGGGGCAAGCGUUGUUCGGAAUUACUGGGCGUAAAGGGCGCGUAGGCGGAAGAUCAAGUCAGGGGUGAAAGGCCUGGGCUCAACCCGGGAACUGCCUUUGAAACUGGUUUUCUAGAGUACGGGAGAGGAUGGCGGAAUUCCCAGUGUAGAGGUGAAAUUCGUAGAUAUUGGGAAGAACACCGGUGGCGAAGGCGGCCAUCUGGCCCGGUACUGACGCUAAGGCGCGAAAGCGUGGGGAGCAAACAGGAUUAGAUACCCUGGUAGUCCACGCCGUAAACGAUGUGUGCUAGCCGUUGGGGCUUCAGGUCUCGGUGGCGCAGCUAACGCGUUAAGCACACCGCCUGGGGAGUACGGCCGCAAGGUUA
rnacentral:rRNA from 1 species